CACUUUGUCAAUUAUCGUUCAAUUAUUUCCAAAUUAUAAUUCAAUUAGUUAAUUUAAUCCUAUUUUUUUGUUUAAAAUUCAUUACUGAGAAUGAUUUUUAAAUUAAUCAAGCCAUAAUUCGUAAAUUCUGUGACGAUCUCUACAUUUUUAACUGUUCAAACUGUUUAACCUUUUGCAUCUUAUGGCUCUUUUACCUCUAUUACGUUUUUACUGUUACACCCUUUUUUUGUUCAACUAUUGUUUUUAACCCAUUAAUUACUCGUUAAUUACAUUAUUUCUGGUCAAGUUAAACUGUUUAAUCAGGUUCUGUAUCUUGUAUCUUGUGAAGCAUCAAUUGAGUAAAAGAAGUCAAUGGUUCAAGAGGUCGGUGCAAAUAAAGAAGGAGAAAAAAAGGAAUUAAAUAAUACAAAUACAAAGAACCAGACCAUUGAUUAAAUAUAUAUGCUUCUGCAUAUGAUCCUUGAUAUCGUCUUGUUAAUUUGUUGCAAGAGGGAGAAUUAACUUGAAAUCAAUUUGAAAUCAAGUCUUUUAUUCCAGACUUCAGUUAAAUGAAUCAGAUAAACAAAGAUGAGAAUAUUUAAUGUCGACCAUCAUCACCUGAGAAACCAGCCCUUUAUAUUCAUUAAGGAGGAGUUAACAAAGCGAAGAGACAGAAGCUAACAUUAAAAGACAACACAGAUUGUACGGAUGACCGAAUUCGCUUGCCUCAGGCCAUCGUCCAUGGUUGACACGCUAUAUACGCGAUAAUUUUAUGCAUUACUAUGUUUAUUAGCAUUUAACUGCUAUUAAAUGCACAAACCAAGCUAAUAUUGAAUAUAUAGAAACACUGGUUAUUUGGCUUCAACAGAACUGGUAAUCGUGUGCGUAACCAGUCUGCUAUUGCAUGAGAAAUGGAUAAAAAAAAUCUGAACCUAAGAGAAUUACCAAGCAAAGAGAAUGGCCAUUCUCAGUGUGGAAAGAGAAGAGACAAGAAAAGAAGGAGAAAAAAAGUGGAAAAUCUAUCAACAAGAAAAAUAUGCAACAAGCAAAGCAGCCAAAACUUAGCAACUAAUGGAAACAGCAGCAGAAGCAACCACUUUUUGAAUUUGUUUUUUUUCUUCAUUCGCUUCACAAACUGGUGGCACGCCACGUUAAUUAGCUUACGACCAUGGCCGUGAUGAUGAUGAUGAUGAUUGAGGCAGAGAUGGUUAUAUGACUUUCUUGUUGGUCCAUUCUGAUAGGAGGAUAAAUAACUGAAACGCUAAGUACCCUGAAACCAUGGAGAUACGCUUUUCAUCAUUUGGUUGGUUUUUCUUUUUCUACCUUAAUUUUAAUCAUCAAACCCCAUAAUCUAUUCUAUGGUAAUCAUUGAUUAAGUUGUAUCACGUGACCGCGUGAAAUUAAUGUAAAAUAUGACUUUAUCAUCUUUUUCAUCAACUUAUUAAUAAUAUUAACAAGCAGGCGGAGUUGGAAGCGGAAUUUGUUAAUGGAUCAUGUCGAUGAACAUUGAUUGUUUACCAAGGGUAACCAUGAUUAUCUCGCAUCUUAUUGCUUGCUACACAAAAUUUGCAUUUUUAGGAGGUUGAUAAUAAAUUGCGUUAAUACGCCACUUUUUAUCAGUCUCCAUGAUGAAACUGCAGUUUACUCUUUCAUGAUGAGGAUGAUGAUGAGAGGCCUCUCAUGUUGUUCCUGUUGUUCUUGAUGUGUCUACCCGUUAAUGAACAAAGUCAUCUCUCUUCAAUAACAUUCAACAAAUAUUCAACAUCAACUGACUUUUUUGAUUAUCUUUUCUUCUCUAAUGCUUCCAGUUGAUGUAAAGACUUGUAAAGAAACAAGAAGAUGGUGAUGAUGAUGGUGAUGGAAAAGCAGGGAAGAAAAGAAAGAAAAGAAAGAGCAAUAAUAAACGAAAACUUAAGAAAAUGAUGGAUCAAGUUUGAUGAGGAAAAAUGUCUUGAAUCACGAUUUUAACAACAUGAUCUAUUGGUUUGGCGUAAAUAUUUGACUAUAAGCAGUAAAGGUUGAACUGAUAAAGAGUAAAUUGUUUUUUUUCUUCCUCAAGAAAAAAGAGCAAAAGAGAAAACCAUCAAACAAGAAUCAAAGGAAUAACAAACAUGAUAGCCAAUCAAGCUAAUUACGGUGCCUAAUUAACAACAUGAUUGUCUCAACUGAUUUUAAAGUGAAGUAAAAGCAAUACACAAUAUAAGUGUAGAGGAAAGCCAGUAUUACUUCAACGUGGAAAUACAAAAGUUACAAGAGUAUCAACUAGUUUGCUGAUUUUAUAAAUAUAAAACAUCAGUAAACAUGAACAAGUUGAGCAAUGUUAAAUAGGAAUCAACUGAAUUUUGUUUCAUUAUUGCACAUAAUCAAAGAGAUUCCGGAUGAAUAAGCCUAUCCUAGGUGCCAAUCAAAGUCAUGCAAGUUAAAUCACGUUUAAUCUAUUGCUAAAUGGUCAAGUAAUUUCCAGUUCCAGAAAGCAGAGUAAUCAAGACCAAGAGGGAAAAUCAGUAAUCAGGAAAGACUUUACCUUUUUAUAUUUGACUCGCUCUUGUUUUCACUUUUGAAGAUCUCACUUUUUUCUCCUUGAUCAUCAUAAUCAUCAUCUUUAUCCAUUCUACCUCUUACUCAAAAGUAAUCUAUCAUCUAGAUGAAAAAUUCAUUUUUUUCUCGUUCAUCAUCAUCAUCAUCAACAACAUCAACAACAUGGACUCUCUUUUUUAAUUCUUACAAACCAUUCAACCAAUAGCCUGACCAGAUCGACCUAAGCUGAGCGAUGAAAGCUUUAUAGCUUUGGGAUGAUCUGUUGAGAAGGAAAAGGGCAGAGGAUGCAAAAAAAAGUGAGAUAUCAAAUCUCUCUGUAUGGAUAAUUCGUGUCAAUAUCCAUUCAUUCUUGCUCUGGUCGUCAUCAUUGAUGUUUCAUUUUCUUCCCUUUGACUUGCUUGCUUGCUUCUCCUUCGAGAUUUUCAAUCAAUCUGCAAAAAAGGCAAUUCAUCUUCAUUAAUAGUUUUAGCCUUUGAAACUGUUUGAUGGAAGAACAAGAAAAAAAAGUAGAAAGAAAUAAAAAACGAUAAGAAAAAAGCUGCUUGGAGGAGAGACGGAAAAAAUAUAUACACAUACACAAGAUGGAAUGGGGAAGCAAAUCAUAUUAUAUACAAGCAAAAAAUCAGCACCUUCAUGAUAACAAUGGAAUAAAAGGGAAUCAGAAUUGAAACGAGAGAAUGACUGAUGAAGAGGAACAUGAAAAGUUAUGAAUUGUCAGUAGGAAAAAAGAGAGGACAAAAUAAACUAAAGCAAAACAAAAAGACAUUAAUAGAGAUUUGAAAUCACAUGAAAACCAGAAAACCAUCAUUAAAUUAACCAAUAACAACGACAACAAGAUGAUCAACCUAACCAAAGCAAACAAAGUUACUUCACAUUUUCAUUGUCCUUACCAGCUAUCACUACAACCGUAAAUUAGCAAAUAUUUCAACAAAUUAAGUCACUCAAAAUCCCUCGAGAUAAUUGUCAAAAAAGUGAAUCAAGAAUGGAACCAUUUAAUUUUCGCUGAUGAAGAUGAUAAUGACAAUUGUGAUAAUGAUGAUGAUGAUAAUGAUGACAAUGAUUACAUCCUUUCCUGAUGCUUAUUAGUCUCAACUUGCAAGUAUUAACCCUUCACUUUGCUUGCUCUAACUCAACAAGAUGAAUGAAGCAAAGAAGAGAAAAAAGUAAAGCCUUCAGUUGCCUCCAAUCAAAAAAAGUAAAUAUGAUUGACGAUAACUUGAGGGCAUUUUUAUAACUUCAUUUUAUGUUCAACUAUUUAAUGAAAAAAAAAGCCUUAGACUUGGAGUAAAUUUGAUGACGAAGCAAGCAACAGAAAAAAAAGUAAAUCAUUGGAACCAUAUUUCUCCUCUUCAUAAUGAUUAUCAUUAUCAUCAUCAUUAUUAUUAUUGUCGUUAUCGUCGUCAUCAUCAUCAUCAUCUUCAUAACCUUUGGUGUACAUUUUGAUUCUCAAUAAUUAUCAAAAUGAUGUAUGUAAGGUGAUUUUAAGAAGGUUGUAGUUUAACAAGACAGAAAAUGAAGAUGAUCAAAGAUUAUCUUGUAAGAUAUCAUCUUCAUAUUUUUUGUUGUUGAUAUAAACAAAGUUGUGAGUGUGCCAUUGAUUUGGGUUGUUAAAUUCAUCAAGAUUAAGAUGGUGCAGAACAUGAUGAAGCCAAAGUCCAGAGCCUCAUGUAACUGAAUAUACCAAUUGACUGUAAACUGUCUUGAAAGUUAAUUUAAUAGUAAUCAGAGAAUCUGUUUUUCCUCUCUUUCUCUCACAAUCAAGUAAAAAAAAAGUAAAUUAAUGAGUCGAUAUGGUUUAUAUACUUGGUUUUUGCUUGUUUGGUUAGUAUUUGAAAAAAAGACGUUUCCACUCAAAUUAAUUCUUUACGAGGAAGCAAAAAAGUCAGAUACUGAGAAGAGUCAAAAAAGUCAUAAUUAAAUGAAAAUAUCAAAAAAAUUGAGAGGAAAAAUGUUGGAUAGAGAAAGAGGGAAAAAGAGAUUCUAGAUUUCAAUUUUGUUUAAUCUUUGAUAAUCACAAAUGAUAUAACCCAUCGAGUGAGUAAAAAUGAUGAGAGUAAAGAUGAGAAGGUCAAGUCACUCUCAUUAUGACUGAAAUUUGAGAAGAUGCUCUAUGUCUUGUUAGUCUGUCUUUUUUUAUUUUCACAGGGUUACUUGGUAUUACCCUUGGUGGAAAGAUGAAGAUGAAGAUGAAACAAGACUAGGACGAAGAAGAAGAUUGUCAUUCCCAUUGAUCAUUUCGAUCGUUCUCACUUGUGACUCUUGUGAAGAGAGGGAUAGGGAAAGAUCAAAGAGGAAGAAGAGGACGAAUAAGAUGACAAAAGUGAACAAGAAAUGGAAAUGGAGACGGACUCAAAAAAUGAUAGUUGAUAGUUACGCUUGCUUCAUCACCAUCAUCAUAAUCACAACAAUUCCGAAAUUUGCAAAAUGUAAAUAGUAUUUCCAUGUAUUUACGAUUCUGAAUCAAUCAUUUACGAAAUUAGAUCAAUUUACUGAAGUAUGGAUGAAAUUGCGAACUGGCUCAAAGGUGGAGAGAAACAAGAGGAAAAUAAACAAUAUCAAGAGAUGGAAAUGUAUGGAUUCAAGAAUGGCAAUAAAGAGUAGUUAGGAAUGAAUGGAAAGUGGCAGAGCAAGAUGAUGAAGGAAAGCCAAGAAAAAUGUUGGAUAACUGAGGCAACAAUAUCCUGAUGAUGGAAGAAGUGUGAUGAAUAAUGGCAUUUAUGUUGUAUACUUUUUGCCGGAUAAUAUUAGGUGACAAAGACUUGGUAGGACCACCUUAAGUGAAAGUCCAUUAAUAUUAUCAUCAUUAUACAAAUGGUAUGCAAUGAACGGAAAUAUUGAAUUUUCUUUGGCUAAUCUGUAUACACUGUUUUGACUGACUGAUUGAGUGUCUACCGAAAGCACAUCUCGUGUCUCCAUCAACAUUAAAUUUUUCAUCUUGCUGUUACUCUUGUUUCAUACUCUGUUGCCUUUGGCCUUUUCUCCCUGUAAUCGGGCUCAUGGAAAAACAUGGUGCUGGUUUGCAUUGCAGAUAUUUUAUUACAGUUUUCCCUUGCUGUGCUUUUCAGCUUAUUUAUCAUCUCAAGUUGAUCUUGGCAAGUCGCCAAAAAAAUCUUUAUUCAACCUUUUUUUUCCAUUUCAUCUUCUCAAGUCAAGGUAAACUUGAACAAGAAUUGCUUUUGUCACCAUUAACAAUGGAAAUGAUUACUUAAAUCAUACUUGUAUUAUUGAACAAGGAUAUAAACAAGAAGAUGGACAUAAUGACACUUUGAGUUUUGUUGUCUCCUCGCUCCUCAAAUUGAAACCAAAUUUUUCCGCUCAAACCAAGUGACGAGUUUUCUUGUUUUGCUUUUUAAAAGUGUUGAUGGUCCCGUUGAUACGUUUGUUUAAGUGUCAAUCUUGUAUUACUUGUUAGACUUUGCUUUAUUGUUGCCAAUAAAUUGGUAAAGAUGAGGAUCAAAACAGUGCAACAGUCAAUAGUCAAUAUAACAAUGAGUAAAGGACAAAAAAGCCUGGAAAAGUUACAAGAAAUUAUAUUUAUACCAACGGCAGCCAUUACAUUGAUAUGAUCACGGAUGAUAUUCACAUUGGUCACAUCAUGAAUAGUAAUCACCUUUUGUUGAAAUCAAUUGGUAAUGAGACAAUGAAUAACAGCUCAACAUCAACAACAACAAUGACAAAAAAGCGUAUCCUUCAUGUAUAUUUGUAUACAUAUAUUAUAAAAUGUAUAUACAUAUAAAUGUGUUAAAUUACAUGUGAUUGAGAAAAUACUUUAUUCAAUCAAUGAAUUUAAAGUCACGCUUUAUCAGGGAGAGUGCUGCUGCAGCAGAGAAAAAAAAGUUUGACAGUGAAAGGGAAGAAAAAUUUUGAUAUCAGUGAUGAACAAAACACGAAAGAUACAUUGAAAUAAAAAAAAGUAGGAGAAAAGAUUUGAUGAUGAAAAGGGAAAGAGAAUGAAAAGAAAUGAAAAUUAGACCUUAAUGUCAAAAUUUUUGGCUCGCCUCAUCAUCAAGCCCAUCAGUCUUUCACUCAACUUUAUCAUUGAUGGUACAAAAGUAGGAGAAGGCAAGAAAAGGUGAAGGUAAAAGACCAAGAUGUGGAUAAAGAGCCAAGAAGAAACAAAAAAAGCAAAGCAAAUGGAAGGAAGAUUCAACAAUUUACUUUGUAAUCGAGAAUCGUCACUAAUAUGUGAGUCUUUGGUGGUCUUGCAGAAGGAAGGAAAAAGAAGGCGAAAGAUGAAGAUGAAAAGCCAGUUGAAGGAGCACUUCUUAGAGGAGUUCUUCUCAUCUUCUUCCCUCAUUUUUUAAUUGAGAGGGAACCUCUUAGUAUGGAAAUGGAUAGAGUCCCUUUUCCUCCUUAUCUUCGCUUCCUUGCAAUUGUUCCCAAUAGAGUUAAGGAGAAGAUGAAGAGAGAGAGAGAAGAGAGAAGCAAAAAACAACAAGAACAGGCGAAAGAAGAAGAAGAAAGAUGAAGAAAGUUGUGGAGGGUCCAAAAGCUCACCUUAAUCACUAUCCUCAGGCAAUUGGGUGCAAGAUAGUUUACCUUCUGCUCUUCCUCCUCAUCUCCAUCAUCAUCCUCAUCAUCUCCUUUUACUUGUGCUCUCCCUUUUCUCAUCUACUUAAAGAAACGAUAUUUUGUUUUUACAGGUAACGAGAGUUAAAAAGCAAUUGUGAAGGCUCAGGGUGAGCUGUAUUAACUGCUGUUCACAUAAUCUUAACUGUUGCUAAUGUUUUUGCCUUUUUUACCUUCUCUUGGUCUGUUAAAGUUAAAAGAAAAACAAGUUCGUCGGAAUUUUGCCGGCAAAGAUGGAGGUCGAAUGCAACAAGAUGAUAUUGAUGAGCUUUACAGAAAUGUCUAUGUGAAAAGCAAGAGAAUGGUCAGAAUGACUGUUGGUUGUUGCCUUGCUAAUGUUAACAAAAAAACAAGAAAAAUAAUGUUCAAUCUUGAAGAAAACUGUUAUUCAUCAAAGAAACUUGUUUUAAUAUUUUAAAGAUUAACUCUAGACUUUACCUAGACUCAUUGGUUCAAAGGUUGAACUAUGGUGAAGGUAAACAGGGUUAGCGAUAUUUACAAUUUAUAUUAACUGAAAUGAUCAUUUUUCACUUAACAUUUUAUGUGUGAUUGGUGAUUACAUUUAGUCACACAAAUAAUCAUAAAUCACAUUGAAAGUUGCACUAAAAUGAGGUAAAAAAAAGAUGAAAUGCAGUAAAGAAAAAGCAAAAUCUUAUUAACCUUAGAAGAAAGGAAAGCAAAUUUUUCUUGCAAAUCUUCACUUCUGCCAUUUCUUGUUUAACCUUUAACGAUUAUGGCUAUUAUAAUGAUUAAUAAUUAUUAUAUUAUUUUCAUCAGUUGAAAUGGCAUCAGCCUAUGGCCAUAAAAAAAGAUAUUGUUUAAUAUUAAUUGUCAUUUCUCUCCCCUUUACCUCUUUAAUCAAUUUAACUAUUCACCACUUGCUCAUUAAUCAAAAGCCUAAUUGAAUGAACAAAAAAAGUCGACAAUUAUUAUGAUUAUAUUCACAUUUUGACCUUUUUAAUUAGACUAAAACCUGUACUUUAAUGAGCCUAAUUAAUUGUGACAACAAAUCAAUGAUUUUCCAAGAAAA